GAGUAAUGCCUAGGAAUCUGCCUGGUAGUGGGGGAUAACGUCCGGAAACGGGCGCUAAUACCGCAUACGUCCUGAGGGAGAAAGUGGGGGAUCUUCGGACCUCACGCUAUCAGAUGAGCCUAGGUCGGAUUAGCUAGUUGGUGGGGUAAAGGCCUACCAAGGCGACGAUCCGUAACUGGUCUGAGAGGAUGAUCAGUCACACUGGAACUGAGACACGGUCCAGACUCCUACGGGAGGCAGCAGUGGGGAAUAUUGGACAAUGGGCGAAAGCCUGAUCCAGCCAUGCCGCGUGUGUGAAGAAGGUCUUCGGAUUGUAAAGCACUUUAAGUUGGGAGGAAGGGCAGUAAGUUAAUACCUUGCUGUUUUGACGUUACCAACAGAAUAAGCACCGGCUAACUUCGUGCCAGCAGCCGCGGUAAUACGAAGGGUG
rnacentral:rRNA from 1 species